rnacentral:lncRNA from 1 species
CGGCUGAUCACAGGAAGGAAGGACUGCCGCUGCUUAGGCCGGCUACUUUGGACCAAACAUGCGCUUCAGUUGCCACACAUGCGCGUAAAGCCAGCAACUUGAAUCAUGCUUUUCGCUGGGCAGUGGUCCACCUCACCCUGGGCACCCACGGCGGGGCACCUUUCAGGAUCUCCGCAGGCUACGACCAGGGGAGGGUGCCCCAGUACGACACAGCCACCAUCGAGCCGCACUUCACCACCAACUGCACCAUGGCGUCUUUGCCCGGUGCGAACGUCACCUUGCAGGGGAAAUACCACUGUCACCGAGGGCCUUCCAUCAGGCUAGACAAACUGUGCGACUUCCAGACAGACUGCCCGCUCGGAGACGACGAGGGAGAGCGCUGCAGGCGCUUCCUCAAUGGCAGCUACUGUUCAUUUGAAGAGGGUGAGUGCUUGUGGCAGUCGAUACCGGGACGCACGUUCUCCUGGAGGAGGCUGCUGAGUCCGGCCAAGGCAACCAGGCAGAUCUGCCCCUCAUCAGGUGCUACUUUCAGCGUGGAGGGAGGACAGACCAAAGGCCACCGUGGGUCAGCCCUACUAAGAAGCCCAGUAUUUCCUCCUCCACUCAGAAACUCUCCAUGCAAGGUUCGUUUUUGGAUGUGUUCCGGUGGUCUGAAGAAGGGGCGCUGUCCCUGUGGAUUGUGGAGAACAGCACGGGGCCAGAGGAGCAGCGUAGACUGUGGCAUUCGGCCAGUGAGCCCAGAUCGGAGCGAGGCUGGAAACUCAUCUCAGUGCCCCUCUUCGGCCUGGCAGACUGGUUCUGGCUGCAGUUCAGCGCUGAGGACGGACCUGGCGUGGGUUCAGUGAUCUCCAUCGAUAACAUCUCCUUCACGAUGGACUGCUUCUUGGCAUGCCUUUACCUGGGGCUGCUGUGUUACUGUGAGAAACCACGUUAAGCAUAGGAACGGCGGUGCAUGGUUCUGCUACGCCCGCUCCUCUCUGUGAUGUAUGGAGUGUGCUUGGCGUUCCAUCAGCCAACCUUCAGCUGAUGGGCUGAGCUGUCAUUUUAUCUUCACCAACAUCAUUAUGCCAC